UCUAAAAGAAUAUAAGCCUUCGGCCAUUGUACAAUAUGAACAACAUAUAUUACAAAGCAUGCAAAGAUAAGAGAAGGAAAAUGAUUACAAGUUAGGGGAAAUGGGAAAUGGACUUCCCCCCUUUCAAACUCCAAGCUCUUACUCGCAGCAUGAUCGGAGAAGAAGAAGAAAUCUCUUUAUAGACGGUGGAAAGGCUCCUUUCCACUACUUUCUAGGUUUGGCCCAUUCAGACCUCCUUUUCUUGAUGUAGAAGGAGACUUUGUAUAGGUAAUUUUAGGUGGGAAACUUCUAUUCUUCUGAUCAUGUCAUCGCUAAUUGCAGCCUCUGUCAAGUCACAUCAGCUCCAACUACAAUUCUUGUCCUCUAGUGAACCUUCCUCGCGUGAUAUCAUAGAUCCUCGCCUAGCAGUUAUUCUCGUCAGAUGGACUCUUCUCGCAUAGCUCUUUCACGAGAUCCUUUGCAAUUCACUAGUCUUUUCUUCUGCUUCUAUUGCUGUCAAGACACUAAAAACGCGGUUGGAUUGAAGAUGACAAAAAGGAAAAAGGAUAUGAAUGAAGUUUGAUGCCCCCAACCACCGUUACAGAGAGCAACAUUAGUCGGUGGAUGAAGGAAGAAAGGUUGUGAGAAUAUCAGAGUUGGUUUAUUCUAUAUAAAGCGAAGUUGUAAAUUGUAAAUUUGUACUUCUGUAAGUACUAAGUUAAUAAAGAGGAGUUUUAAGUUAUUAUGAUGUGUUAUUUCUUGAGUGUUUUUUGCUGUAAAAGAAGUGAAUGUCUCUUAGGCUCACAAGGAAGAACUUCACAAAGAGACGAAUGAAGAGUUGUUCCACUCACUUGGUGUUCAACGCACUAUCUCGCGUUGGGUAUGUAUUGAGUAUCUAGGUGACACAUCCUUCAAAUGGUUGCAUGAAGUGGCAUUGGGACAGGGCGUGACAUCUUUGGUGUUAAUUCUUUUCUAUAGUAAGUUGGGUAUUAUCUUCGAAGAGUUUUAAGGUUGUGGAAAUAUUCUUUUACCCAAUUUAAUGUUUUGGGUUUUAUGUCCUAAAACUCAUAGAUAGUAUAUGUGAUAUGCUGGUCAUUAUUAAUAAAGUGUUAUUAUAAUUCCAAUAAA